rnacentral:rRNA from 1 species
UGGGGAAUUUUGGACAAUGGGCGAAAGCCUGAUCCAGCAAUGCCGCGUGUGUGAAGAAGGCCUUCGGGUUGUAAAGCACUUUUGUCCGGAAAGAAAUCCUUGGCUCUAAUACAGUCGGGGGAUGACGGUACCGGAAGAAUAAGCACCGGCUAACUACGUGCCAGCAGCCGCGGUAAUACGUAGGGUGCAAGCGUUAAUCGGAAUUACUGGGCGUAAAGCGUGCGCAGGCGGUUUGCUAAGACCGAUGUGAAAUCCCCGGGCUCAACCUGGGAACUGCAUUGGUGACUGGCAGGCUAGAGUAUGGCAGAGGGGGGUAGAAUUCCACGUGUAGCAGUGAAAUGCGUAGAGAUGUGGAGGAAUACCGAUGGCGAAGGCAGCCCCCUGGGCCAAUACUGACGCUCAUGCACGAAAGCGUGGGGAGCAAACAGGAUUAGAUACCCUGGUAGUCCACGCCCUAAACGAUGUCAACUAGUUGUUGGGGAUUCAUUUCCUUAGUAACGUAGCUAACGCGUGAAGUUGACCGCCUGGGGAGCACGGUCGCAAGAUU